rnacentral:rRNA from 1 species
CCUACGGGAGGCAGCAGUGAGGAAUAUUGGUCAAUGGACGAGAGUCUGAACCAGCAAAGUAGCGUGAAUGAUGAAGGUCCUAAGGGUUGUAAACUUCUUUUAUAUGGGAAUAAAAUGUUCCGCUCGUGUGAUUAUGUAUGUACCAUAUGAAUAAGCAUCGGCUAACUCCGUGCCAGCAGCCGCGGUAAUACGGCGGAUCCAAGCGUUAUCCGGAUUUAUUUGGUUUAAAGGGAGCGUAGGUGGAUUGUUAAGUCAGUUGUGAAAGUUUGCGGCUCAACCGUAGAAUUGCAGUUGAAACUGGCAGUCUUGAGUACAGUAGAGGUGGGCGGAAUGCGUGGUGUAGCGGUGAAAUGCGUAGAUAUGACGAAGAACUCCGAUUGCGAAGGCAGCUUACUGGACUGCAACUGACACUGAGGCUCGAAAGUGUGGGUAUCAAACAGGAUUAGAUACCCGUGUAGUC